GACGAGCCCGCGGCGGAUUAGCUUGUUGGUGAGGUAACGGCUCACCAAGGCGACGAUCCGUAGCUGGUCUGAGAGGACGAUCAGCCACACUGGGACUGAGACACGGCCCAGACUCCUACGGGAGGCAGCAGUGGGGAAUCUUGCGCUAAUGCGGGAAACCGUGACGCAGCGACGCCGCGUGAGGGAAGAAGGCCUUCGGGUUGUAAACCUCUUUCAGGAGGGACGAAGCUACUCGGGUGAAUAGCCCAGAGGGUGACGGUACCUCCAGAAGAAGCCCCGGCUAACUACGUGCCAGCAGCCGCGGUAAUACGUAGGGGGCAAGCGUUGUCCGGAUUUAUUGGGCGUAAAGAGCGUGUAGGCGGCUAGGUAGGUCCGUUGUGAAAACUCGAGGCUCAACCUCGAGACGUCGAUGGAAACCAUCUAGCUAGAGUCCGGAAGAGGAGAGUGGAAUUCCUGGUGUAGCGGUGAAAUGCGCAGAUAUCAGGAAG
rnacentral:rRNA from 1 species